CCACCACGUAAUGACUACACACCAUCACGUAAUGACUACACAACACCACGUAAUGUCUACACACCACCACGUAAUGACUGUCUACACACCACCACUUAAUGACUGUCUACACACCAGACUUAACAAAUCUUUGUUUGAUUUAUAAACUAAACAACGUUGUAUUUGUAUAUCAAUCAAUUCACGGCAUGGACAUUUAAUUCUAUAUUUUAAAAAACUGUUUACUUACAUUUAAUAUGUUGGUAUUUGUGUGCAAUGUUUUAAUAAUGGGUGCAAUGUUUUAUACAUUUUUUUUUACAUAUUUGAUACAGUAGUGCAAUUUAGGUCAAUAUGUGUACGAGAUUAAUUUAUUUGUGUAAGAAUAUAAAUAUGAAAUAUAUUUGAUUUGUGAUUGUAUAUAUUUACUCUAUUUGUACACUAAGUUAGUGAGCAUUACAAAACUGAAAGUAUAUGUCAUGAAAAUAUUCAGCAAUGUUGCAGUUUUAUAUUAAAAACUCUAUUGAAUAAUUGUAC